AGCGGGGAUGAGUCUAGUGGGAGGCUUUCCCCACCACCCGGUGGUGCACCAUGAGGGCUACCCUUUCGCCGCCGCCGCCGCUGCCGCCGCCGCUGCCGCCACCCGCUGCGGCCACGAGGAAAACCCCUACUUCCACGGCUGGCUCAUUAGCAGCCACCCGGAGAUGUCCCCCCCUGACUACAGCAUGGCUCUGUCCUACAGCCCCGAGUACGCCAACGGGGCGCCGGGCAUGGACCACUCCCAUUACGGGGGGGUGCCGCCCGGGAACGGCCCGCCCGGGCUCGGGGGGCCCCGGCCGGUGAAGCGCAGGGGCACGGCGAACCGCAAGGAGCGGCGCAGGACUCAGAGCAUCAACAGCGCCUUCGCGGAGCUGCGGGAGUGCAUCCCCAACGUGCCCGCCGACACCAAGCUCUCCAAGAUCAAAACCCUCCGCCUGGCCACCAGCUACAUCGCCUACCUCAUGGACCUGCUGGCGAAGGAUGACCAGAACGGGGAGGCGGAGGCCUUCAAGGCAGAGAUCAAGAAGACAGACGUGAAGGAGGAAAAGAGGAAGAAAGAGCUGAACGAAAUCUUGAAAAGCACAGUUAGCAGCAACGAUAAGAAAACCAAAGGGAGGACUGGCUGGCCGCAGCAUGUCUGGGCUUUGGAGCUCAAGCAGUGAGCACGACAGGACUGGUGGAGCCGUCCUCUUGGUCUCGGUGGCGAGCUCUUCUCUGAGGACUCUUUAUAUUUGGAAUCGUCCAGUUUAUUUAUGUGCAAUUUCUCCCCCAAGCCCCCAAAAGUGUGGAUAUUUGAAGGAGAGGGAAAAAGCAUUCCAUAUAUGAAGAAGCAACUCCAACUUGGUCCAGGGCUGCAAACCUGCCUGCCUUCCCCUGCCGCAGCGCCUAUGGAAGUGGCUCCUGACGAAAGCCGGCACUAAGCGCACGGGAAAAAAGAAAAAGAAAAAAGGGGGGAGGGAGGUGGGCGAGGGAUGUCUGCGAGUGCUGCAGUGCAACACGUCCCGGGCAGCCUCCCAGCAGAUGCGGUGUCUUUCCUUGACCGAGUCGACGGUCUGCAGCUCUCCCUGGGAAUGCGCGGCAGGGCCGGGGUGCCGAGCCGCCCGCUGCUCCCCCGACCCACCUCCUGGAGAAUCGCCUCUCUGAUACUUCCCUAAUAAUAAUUUUAUCUUUUUGAAAAGUUAGUUUCUGAGAACCGGGAGCUCUUCUGAAUCCGGUAAGGAGGGUCUCUUUUAAUUGCUAGCAAAUUAGGAUGUUGCCAUUUUUUCAGGAGCGGUCAUUCCUGCAGCUAAAUCACAAGAGUCCUAGACAGGCCGGAGCCGACAAAAAUGUAGGUUUUGACGUUAAAAGCUAAAUGGGGAAGCAGAAGCUAAAUUGAUGGUAGAUGGGGAUGUCAGUGCCCUGGCCCCAGAUCUCCGCUAGCGGAGCCGAGGCCUGAUAACAGCGAAGCGCUGCUCCCGCACCAAGCCUGCUCCCCGAGGCAACACCGCCCCGGCGGCCCAAGUAUUUUGGAGAGCUUUUUUCGAAGGUGAAAAGCACGCAGGAGGAGGGACGGCAGCCUGUAUCCCCCUGCAACAUGUAUCGGCGCUGUGAUGGUGGAGGAAGGAAGAAGAGAGGAGGGCAGGGGGUGGGUGGAAUGUAGCCGGGUAGUUGAAGUCCCUACUCGCGCAGACGGGCUCAUGGCCCAGAUUUACUCGUAGUUUAAGCCAGUCCCAUGUAAUAUGGCUGGGGGAGUGAGACUCUCUGUUAUUCCUCAAGAGAAAAUAACACUUAAUUUUUUUUUCUUCCCCCUUGAAGGGAGACAUCAAUAAAAUUCCCCCGGGUGGUGUCUCGCAGCCGCCGCCCGCCCGCCCUCCCAGGAAGCGUCCCCUCGGAUCCCCGGGGUGCGGACCCGGCUGCACGCCAGACACACCGCGGCCGCUCCCCCGCAGCGGAGGAGGCAAGGACCUCUCCGUGUCCUCCGGGAGGGUGCGAGGAUGCCUGGUUUAGGUAGAUAGCAGCGGGGGAUUUUGAAGCUCGCCGUGGUUUUGGGGAGCGGGGAGGCAGCGAGGAACCAGCCCGGUGCCUUUCCCCGGUCGGCAGCUAGCCCGGGCGGCUGCUGGCCAUUCAGGGUUUGGGCGGAGGGGGGGGAGAGGUGUUCCUGCAACAUGCGGGACCCCGGAGGACCCCUCAGCCCUUCCCCAUCUUUUUUAGGCUGUUUUAUGUGUCCUCUGCGCUAUCGGACGUGCGUGGCAUGCCUGCUAUUCCUGCCCACAAGGAAGAUAAAGUGUGGAGGGUUGUUUUUUUUUCUUCUGCUUUUUUUUUUUAAGUGCAUUUUGCUUUGUAUUGCGGGUGGGUUUUUUUACCCCUUCGUUCCCAGGAGCUCUUCUAUGCCUCGAAAGAUAAUUGCAAUUAUUAGUACUAAAUUGCUAUCGUUGUCAAAGAGGUGUAACGGGGCCUCCCGGACCAAGCCGCAGACAACCCUAGAACAAGUGCCGAGACAUCCGUGGGCAUCUGUAAGAAUAUAAACACAACCAGAGGAUGCCAUAGAGACAAUAUGAGCUUGAAAGGUGGGCGGGGAGGCCGGGAGAGAAGGUUAAUAAUAAAACCUCUAAGAAAAAUAUGCUGCUUUUCGCACUUUAAACCUAACCUUAAUCCUCCUUUUUCACACUUACUCUCCCAGCGACUCACAAAUGCACCCAAAAGAAACCCAAGUAGCGAUGGGAAGGAAACUCAUUCCACACGCCUGCAGACAUAAUCCCCUCUGCUGUAACGAGAGGCUUAUCAAUGUUUUAUAUAUUUUUAAUUUGGGAAAUUUUUUUUGUGGGCCAUGAAAUACGUGCCUUUGCAGACGAGCUCCGAUCUUUUUCUUUUUCUAAUUGGCCAAUUACUGUUCAGCUGUUUCAGUUCAUACCGUACGAUGGAGAUUAAAGUAGAGUUGUUAUCUGAAUCACACAUUCACAUAAAUUCUAGCAAAGCUGGGCAAUGCGCGGAGCCAGAGCUUCUCUGGGAAUCCCUGUGGCCCCCUCUUUCCCUUCCAAACCUGCGUGGUGUGUGUCUCCCUCUUCCCCAUCUCCCCCUACACCCCCAUUUUCCUCUAAAAAUGUCUUUGCUUUGAUGAUCCGAUUGUAGAGCAUUGAUUACAAAUUUAUUCUCAGACACUAUAUAAGUCUUUAUAUCUGCUAUUAGAGACAUCUGGGAAUGAUUACAGUCCUCCCUCCCCCGGCUCAGUUCCCUCUAUCUUGCAGCGAGGAGCUAGAGACAUGUUGACGUCAGAUCAGACGGCUAGGAGCCAUCCUGCUCUCCACUUGGGUGUAAUCACGGCCGAGUUUUCCAAGCUUCAGCCCCGGCCGCGGCCGCCAGCUGGGAUGCGGGUGCAGCGGGACCCAGCACUCCCUCCGCGGGGCUCCUCUGCGCGGAAGCCCCCGGGGCCGCCAGCUCUUCUGGAGUUUGCCGUCAGGGUUGUUUGUUUACUUGUCUGUUUGGAAUUUCAAGAAAGAAAAAGCAGUGCAUUCCGCGGGCGGUGCUCCCGCCCUGCCGCCGGCCCAGCUCUCGCUUUAUCUCAACCCGAUUUCUCCCGGCGCAUUCGCUCACAGCGCUAUCUUCCAAAAUAAAUACCGAGGCAGGCAGAUUUCCACCUUAUGUCUUGGCAGGGAGAAAUUAGCCAAGCAAAGUGCUUACGUGCGGGCAGUGACAGACGCGCUGACACCCCGCUAUCCAAAGUGGUAGUCAGGUUUAUAAUCAGCCGGGCGAACUGGAGGCUGCUCUAAAACAAGACGAUUCCCUACCCAAAAGGCAGUGCUGCUGGAGAGGAGAUGGCUUUGCACCUGCUGUUAAAACCUAAUGAAUCGCCUCUAAUUGAGAGCUGAGACUGGCUGACGGUAAUGCCGAGCAGCCACCUUGGUAGCCCUGGCUCAGCGGGACCCCAGACCACAUUUGCCACGCUUAUUUUCACAAACUGUUUACUGUAUGGUUUCGUAGGUUUCGUACCAUUCUGUUUUAUUUUGAGUUUUUUUGGUUUGUUUUCCCCAAGGAGAUAAAAAAUAUAAUUGAAUAAAUACAACUUGAGCCUCGCCGGCGGUUCGCGAAGCCUUGGACCGGCUGACACUUGUCCAGCUGUACGCUGCAAUCAGUGCUACCACCAGGAAAGGGGGGGUGGAUGAGAAAGCAGUUGAUCUCGUCUCCAGAGGAAAGAGAUAAUGUUAGACUGUUUGUCUGAAGGAUUAAGUUCGCGGGGUAAAAUACGUUUGCCAGAAGAGG